GACGAACCGAGCGAACGUUGUUCGGAAUCACUGGGCUUAAAGAGCGCGCAGGCGGUCGUUCAAGUCGCGUGUGAAAGCCCCCGGCUCAACUGGGGAGGGUCACGCGAUACUGAUCGACUGGAAGGCAGGAGAGGGUAGUGGAAUUCCCGGUGUAGUGGUGAAAUGCGUAGAUAUCGGGAGGAACACCAGUGGCGAAGGCGACUACCUGGCCUGUUCUUGACGCUGAGGCGCGAAAGCUAGGGGAGCAAACGGG
rnacentral:rRNA from 1 species